AUACGUAGGGGGCGAGCGUUGUCCGGAAUGAUUGGGCGUAAAGGGCGCGUAGGCGGCGCGGUAAGUCUGGAGUGAAAGUCCUGCUUUCAAGGUGGGAAUUGCUUUGGAUACUGCCGCGCUUGAGUGCAGGAGAGGUUAUCGGAAUUCCCGGUGUAGCGGUGAAAUGCGUAGAGAUCGGGAGGAACACCAGUGGCGAAGGCGGGUAACUGGACUGCAACUGACGCUGAGGCGCGAAAGUGUGGGGAGCAAACAGGAUUAGAUACCCUGGUAGUCCACACUGUAAACGAUGGAUGCUAGGUGUAAGAUGUAUCGACCCCCUUUUGUGCCGGAGUCAACACAAUAAGCAUUCCGCCUGGGGAGUACGGCCGCAAGGUUGAAACUCAAAUGAAUUGACGGGG
rnacentral:rRNA from 1 species